rnacentral:misc_RNA from 1 species
UCAAACUUGGUCAUUUAGAGGAAGUAAAAGUCGUAACAAGGUUUCCGUAGGUGAACCUGCGGAAGGAUCAUUACCGAGUGAAGGGUCCCCCCCUCGGGGGUGUGGCCCGACCUCCCAACCCUGUGUUUACUGAACCCGACGUUGCUUCGGCAGGCCCGCCCACCGGCCGCCGGGGGGUGUCUCACCCCCGGGCCCGCGCCUGCCGACGGCCAACCUUCUUAAACUCAUGUUCAACCGUGUCGUCUGAAUGUGUCACAAACAUAAUGAAAAACACAAAACUUUCAACAACGGAUCUCUUGGUUCUGGCAUCGAUGAAGAACGCAGC